rnacentral:rRNA from 1 species
GCAUAAUAAAUAGUUUUUUAAUUGGGAACUGGAAUGAAAGGUAGAAACUUAAGGGUUAGUUUUAUUUAAAAAUUUUGAAAUUAAAUUAGAAGUAAAAAUGCUUUUAUUAAUCCUUGGGACGAGAAGACCCUAGAAGCUUAAAAUUUUAUAAUAUUUUUAGUUGGGGUAAUUAAUGAAGAUAAUAAUUUUUAUAUUUAAAAGGUUUUGUAAAUAAAGUUACUCUAGGGAUAACAGCGUUAUUUAAUUAACAAGUUCUUAUUAAUAAUUAAGAUUGCGACCUCGAUGUUGAAUUAAUA